UACGUAGGGUCCGAGCGUUGUCCGGAGUUACUGGGCGUAAAGAGCGCGCAGGCGGUCGAUCAAGUCGAGUGUGAAAGCCCCCGGCUCAACUGGGGAGGGUCAUUCGAUACUGAUCGACUCGAAGGCAGGAGAGGGUAGUGGAAUUCCCGGUGUAGUGGUGAAAUGCGUAGAUAUCGGGAGGAACACCAGUGGCGAAGGCGACUACCUGGCCUGUUCUUGACGCUGAGGCGCGAAAGCUAGGGGAGCAAACAGG
rnacentral:rRNA from 1 species